GUCUGUGCGUGGAAAACCCUAAAUUCGGGACUUGGAGCCUAUAUAAACGUCUUAAUCUCCUUCCUAGGGUUCCUUACUGCCUCUUUAGCCCUGGAUACCAAACCCUAGCCGCCAUAUCCCCUAUUUGAGCCUUGGAAGGUGCAUUAAAGCUUGGAAAAGGAAGAAGGAACUUGGAGGAGCAAGAAGGGGCUAUAGAUCUGGGAUUGUGAGUUUAUUCUGAGCACUUGGAGGUAAUAAACUAGUUCCUGGACCCUUUUUGCACCUAGAUCUAUGUGUGGUUGUUGGGGCUCUUUAGCCAUAAUGAUAUUAUUUUGAGUUAGAAGCCGGAUCUGGAGUUGCUACUUCAGAUCCAAGUGUGUUAUGGAGUGGGGAAGCAUAAAGUAUCAGCCCUUGAGUCGAUUUUGAAGCCCCUUGGCCUUAAACCCUAGUUUAUAGUGCUUUUUGCCUAGAUCUACAUCUCUACACGUAAAGUUUGCAACUUUACGUGGGGAAUAUGCUUGGGAAGGGUAUAUCUACAGUUUGGAGUCCAUGCAUGACUCAAAAGUCCUCUGCAUGUAUGUAGAUCUGAAUGAACUCGGCGAGUCCUUCGAGUGGACUCGGCGAGUAGCAUGAAGAUGAGGAGGAACUCGACGAGUGGGAUGAACGGCUCGUCGAGUCGGUUGAUGACGGGCAUGAACUCGGCGAGUUGGUGGAACAACUCGGCGAGUUGGAUGAAGAUUGCCUAGCACUCGGCGAGUCUGUUCUUGGACUCGGCGAGUCAGGUCGCGAAGCCCCAAACCCUUCGAGUUGAGACUCGAAUCAGUGAUUCGGGUGGAGACUCAGCGUGUUGGUCAGGUCAGGACUCGGUGAUCAUUGGGCUCGGCAAGUCAUGGACUGACUCGGCGAGUCAUGUCACGAAUAGAAGGACCCUGAGUAUGUGAACUCGGCGAGUCAGUAAGUGGACUCGGUGAGUAGGGUUGACCUGGAAAGGUUGACUUUGACCAGGACUUUGUCUUAGACCAGAAUUGUCUUGGUUAACUGUCGAGGGUCGAUUAUACUAAGUGUUGCAUUGAUAUUGAUAGCUCGGGAAGCUAGUAGAGCAGGAGUUCAGUGAGUGGUCGGGCAGCAGCUAGUGGGUUCAUCAGCCAGUUCAUCCAGUGCAGGUGAGUUUCCCUUUGUAUGAAUGGGUCUACGGCCACAAUGCCAGCCCAUGUAGUUAUGAAUAGAAGACCCGGGGUUAGCCCUAGGCACAAUAUGCUAGUAUGAUAUUCGGGACGAGGUCCAAUGAUAAAGGGCGGGUGCCCAAGGAAUGGUUUAUGUGAUAGUUUAUACUUGUUGUCUGUGUGAUACUUGUAUGUGCCUGGUAGGGAGGUGAGUGUGGGCGAGGUCCCGUAUCUCACCAAUAGCAGAGUGUGGAUGGUGUUCCACAUCUCAGUAGCAGCAGAGCAGGGGCGAGGCCCAAGUUAGGGAAGGAGUGAGGGUGGGCUGGGCCCGUACCUCACUAUCAGCAGGAGUAUGGACGGGGUUCCAUGACUCAUCAGUAGCAGGACAAGGGCGGGGCCCAGAGAUAGGCGAGGCCUUAGGACAAGAUCCGUUAGUAUGUGUUUAGCUUAUGUGAUGUGAUGUGAUAUGUUUAUGUGCUAUUAUAUGUUAGUGGGCGAGGCCCUGUGACAGGCGAGGCCUAAGUGAAACAGAUCUGUAUCCGAGCGGGGCUCGAAGCCAGGCGGGGCCUGGAGCGGCGGGGUCGUUGUAGCGGGCGAGGCCCGAGGUAGGGGGCGAGGCCCAGGAUAGCGGGCGUGGCCCAGUAUGUGCAGUAUGUGGUUAUGCAUGGUAUGUGGUAGGGUGGGGAACUCACUAAGCUUCGUGCUUACGGUUUUCAGUUUUGGUUUCAGGUACUUCCGGUAGCGGAGGGAAGAGCUCGGGGUGAUCGCAUGGCACACACCAUAGUUUAGACAGCCUGGGAAUGUUUACUCUGAUAACGAAUAUGUAUUUUGGAAACUAAUACUUUGUUUAUGUUUUGAAAUGAUGAAUUUGCUUAACGUAAUGUUUCAAUUAAAAGAAAUUUUUAGUCUUGAAUUUUGGGAUGUUACAAGUUGGUAUCAGAGCCUUGGUUUGAGGGAUUCGGACAUACUCUCGGGUGUGCAUGAACUCAAACUGAGGGGUCGGAUAAAAAGUUUUCAAAAGUGAAAAGAUAGUUUUGUAAAAAGAAUUUUGAGAACGAAAAAUAGUUUUAGAAAAGCAAAAAGAAUCCAGAAAGAGAAGAAUUUUGAAAAGAGAAAAAGGGGUGUGGUGCAUGCAAUCAGCCGAGCUCAAGUAAGUACCCCAAAAUACCCAUACAAGUUUACGUUAUGAUUAUCAGUUGAUAGAACAAUAUGCUAGAAUAGGACUAAGGAUCUAGGGAUGAUGCCUUAUGUGCCUGUUAUUUGUGCUUUUGAGCUGCAUGAUAGUACUGAUUAGACAGUAGUAGGAUAGCCUAUUUAGGUUAUGCCUGAGUUUAUGAGUUUGUGUUGCAUGCUAGUUCAGAUUCUUGCUAUGUGGAUAUGAUUGCUUGAGUAUGUUAUGGUUAGAUUUUCCCUUGUCCGAAUGCUGCUUGCUUUGUGCAUUGUAGGAUUCUGAGCGAUGGGAGUUAGCCAUUAGGUGGAUACAACACGCCACAUGUGAUCAGGGUUGAAUAAUCUCAGAGUGUUGGAUUUGGUCAUAUUGCGCAGCUCUUGUCUGAGUCCAACUGUUGUAGGAAUGAGUCUUUUACUUGAAGGAUUAUCUGAGCCUAGUCACAUGCGACGGUAUCCAGGUGAUGGCUAAUUGGCAUCCCAAGGAAAACUUCAGCAACUGAGGACUGGUUUGAGUUGAGUCAGAGGUUCCCCUAGGGUAAGCCUAGGAUGAGGUAGUGCUAGGAGCAGUAUUAGUGGAUAAGGGGACUGGUGGAGUCGNGUGGAGUCAAAGCAAUUCCUGAGGAAAGUACGGAUAGAUGUGGAAGGUAGUAUGGGCCCGUACUACUGAAAGCAGAGGAUCCGUACUCGAUUCGGGAAAGGCCGAGACAAGACCGGGAACCUGGUAGGGUGUGGUUGGUCUCGCAUCAGUGAUGAGUAUUCUGAUAGUGGUUGUGUUAUAUGUUUCAGCAUGGUAACGUUGUGAGAGAGACCAGCGAGCGGAUCAGGCGCCGGAGAGGGAUCGGGCUCGGGUUUAGGGACCGAGAAGCUCGAGGAGCGGAUGAGAAAGUUGAUAUCAGCUGAGGAUACGUGCAGUAUUCUAGCUCAGACUCCUGUGAUCUUUGGCACGGUCAAGGAGGGUAUAUAGGAGAUCUUGGAUGAGAGGCUGGGAGCCUUCCGUAUCGAGAUGAUGGCUUUGUUGGGAGCGCGUACCUUGACAUUUCGAGAGUUCAGGGCUUGCGGGGCACCAGAUUAUCAUGGGGCUAGGGACCCCAUUGCUAGCAGCAGAUGGUUGGCUGAUGUUGCCAAUGCUUUUCGUACGAGCAAGUGUCCCGAGGGGGACAAGGUUAGACUCGCCUCCUGUCUUCUGAAGGACAGAGCGAGGGAUUGGUGGGAGGAGAUUGGUCAUGCUUUGGGGGAUGAUGCUGCGUUGGACGCGAUGACUUGGAGCGAUUUCUCGGCCAGGUUCAGGGCGGAGUUUUCGCUGAUUAUUGAGGUGCAGCAGCUGGCACGAGAGUUUCAGGAUUUGACGCAGACUACUGAGACUGUGGCGGAGAUCACCGCCAAGUUCAGGGAGAGGGCUCUUCUUGUACCGCAGUAUGUAGCGGAUGAGGAGAUGAAGAAGGCUCGGUACCAUGAGAUGUUGNAUCCAACUGUAAGACGCUGGAAGAUAUGAUUUCUCGGGCUAGAGAAAGGGAAAUUGAUUUGGAGCAGAUCCGGACGAGGAAGCCGGAUGAGGUUCAGGUAGUUGCGGGAUCGGGCAAAAGGCCCAAGGGAUCGGAUUCGAGAUCGAGGGAUCAUCAGGACCGCAGUCGGUGCGGAAAGUGUGGCAGGGCGCACGGGGGCGCGUGCAGGAGUGGUAGCGGUGGUGAGUCUGGCUGUUUCAAGUGCGGUCGGACUGGUCAUUUCAGCAGGGAUUGUACUGUUACCGCCGCGCAGGGAUCAGACUUGAUAUGUUUUCACUGCAACCAGCGGGGCCACAAGAAGGCCCAGUGUCCCAGUUUGUUUUCGGCAGGACGGGUGAUGGCACCCGCCCCUGCAACUUUGAGGAUCACGGAUGGCCGUCAGGGCCGGGUAGAGGCACCUGCGGCAGGGAGCAGGGCUUUUCAGAUGACGACCUUGGAGACGCGAGCAACGCCGGACGUUGCAGGUAUGCAAUUUCCCAUUUUCAGUUCUUUUAUUUGUGCAUGAUUUUAUUGUUAUGGUUCUGCAUCAUUAUCGGUAAAAGUAUUUUAUUUUGAGUGGUUGAUUGUGAUCGAGUUAUAUGCCAUCUGCAUACCUUGGAUAUUUGUAUGGUAGUUAGGGGAUGUGCUCUAUUGGAGAAGGUUUUGGAGGAUGCAGUAACUGUAGCAUGCUUGGGAGGGAUUUGGUACGUCUCGCUAGUUCGGAGUGGUUAAGUGAUUGAGAUGGAUUGGUUAAAUCCCUAUCUAUGGCGGGCUUGGGUUCCUCAGUAGAUGGGUUAUGGAAUGGUAGAAAAGGUCGGGAUCUCUUUUGAGUAUUGAGUAGCAAGGGGUAAGCAGGAUCGAAGUGGGGGAGAAUCCUCCAGGUGUGCCCAGAGAGGAGCACACAGACCCAGAAUGAGUACGUGACCUCCGAGAAGGAAAAUAAGUAGUUCAACGUUCGAUGGUUUGAGGAUUCAGGGUUGGGAGUUUGAGAAACUCCCCAUCAGUUAGUGCGUGAUUGGGAAUUCAGGUUGUGGAUCGCCCGAAGGACUCGAGGGAGUCGGAGUGAGGAUCUUGAGAGCUGAUGGCACAUGGGUGCCUUUGUUUUAGCAGUCAGUGGUAGGAGGUGAUGUAAGACUACGGGGCAUCCGUAGCAUUCACUAGCAGUCAGUGGUGAAAGUGUCGUAAGACUACGGGGCAGCCGUAGCAUUCACUAUCGGUCAGCAAUGGAUGGCGAUGUAAGACUAUGGGUAAGUCUAGCAUUCCUUAGUAGUUUCGUUAGCGGAGUUGGGGCGAGGCCCUUAUCUCCUAGUGAUCAGGUAGGGAUCGGGAAUGGGUAGUGGAUGAGAAUGAUAGGGAGUUGCCUAUAUAAUGACCCGUACUGGUAAAAGCAGGGGUGAUGGAGUUGGUGGAGGAUAGGGACUUCACAGUGACAGAAGGAAUAGUUGGUUAUGGGGUUUUGCCUUGGGAAGGCAAGGAAUUGUGCAAGGAAAGAAGGGGUGAACCCCUAUAGGUUCAGUGCAGUACUCGGUGAGUACCAUGCGGAUUAUCGGUUGAGUAAGUUGUGUUUCCAGAAUGUUCAGGGUCAGGGUUGACCCGAGAUGAUUAUCCGCAAGGUUUGAUGCUAGUCAGAAUGAUCGGGCGGUAGGCCAGCGAAGGAAGGCAGCUAGUGUUGGAAUAAUUGGUUGGGUAUUGCAGGCAGAUCGCAGGCGGUGGGCCAUAGCAAACUUCGAGGACGAAGUUUAGUUAAAGUGGGGGAGAGUUGUAACACCCAAAGUUUUGAAGGCCAAGAAAGGAAAGAAAACCUUAAUGUUAAGGGGCGACUCGACGAGUCCAAGGAGGAACUUGGCGAGUCAGAGCGGGAUCUGGGUCGAGGAGUAAGUGACCGACUCGGCGAGUCGGCCAAGGUGACUCGGCGAGUCUGGUCUGUGCGUGGAAAACCCUAAAUUCGGGACUUGGAGCCUAUAUAAACAUCUUAAUCUCCUUCCUAGGGUUCCUUACUGCCUCUUUAGCCCUGGAUACCAAACCCUAGCCUCCAUAUCCCCUAUUUGAGCCUUGGAAGGUGCAUUAAAGCUUGGAAAAGGAAGAAGGAACUUGGAGGAGCAAGAAGGGGCUAUAGAUAUGGGAUUGUGAGUUCAUUCUGAGCACUUGGAGGUAAUAAACUAGUUCCUGGACUCUUUUUGCACCUAGAUCUAUGUGUGGUUGUUGGGGCUCUUUAGCCAUAAUGAUAUUAUUUUGAGUUAGAAGCCGGAUCUGGAGUUGCUACUUCAGAUCCAAGUGUGUUAUGGACUGGGGAAGCAUAAAGUAUCAGCCCUUGAGUCGAUUUUGAAGCCCCUUGGCCUUAAACCCUAGUUUAUGGUGCUUUUUUCCUAGAUCUCCAUCUCUACACAUAAAGUUUGCAACUUUAUGUGGGGAAUAUGCUUGGGAAGGGUAGAUCUACAGUUUGGAGUCCAUGCAUGACUCAAAAGUCCUCUGCAUGUAAGUAGAUCCGAAUGAACUCGGCGAGUCCCUCGAGUGGACUCGGCGAGUAGCAUGAAGAUGAGGAGGAAAUCGACCAGUGGGAUGAACGGCUCGUCGAGUCGGUUGAUGAUAGGCGUGAACUCGGCGAGUUGCAGGAACAACUCGGCGAGUUGGAUGAAGAUUGCCUAGCACUCGGCGAGUCUGUUCUUGGACUCGGCGAGUCAGGUCGCGAAGCCCCAAACCCUUCGAGUUGAGACUCGAAUCAGUGAGUCGGGUGGAGACUCAGCGAGUUGGUCAGGUCAGGACUCGGNACAUAUUAUAGUUUAUUAUUUAAUAGAUAAAAAACUUUUGACAUUAGGUAAAACCUUUUGAACUUAUUAAAAAAAAUUAUAAAAUUAAUAAAUAAUUAUAGAUAUAUUGAAAAUAAAAACAUAACAAAUUGUUAUUCGGUUUUUUUGGACUAUUUGGUUCUUAUUUUAUAAACCAAAACCAAUCCGAAAUCCAAAAUAAUAAUUCAGUUUUGUUGAAAACCAAUCCAAAAAUCCGAAUAUCUGAACCAAAUAGUCCAAUCCAAAUUGUCCAAUUGGACAAUUCGGUUUUAUCCAAAUAGAGAACAACCCUAUAUGCUAGUAUGAUAUUCGAAACGAGGUCCAAUGAUAAAGGGUGGGUGCCCAAGGAAUGGUUUAUGUGGUAUUUUAUACUUGUUGUCUGUGUGAUAGUUGUAUGUGCUUGGUAGGGAGGUGAGUGUGGGCAAGGUCCCGUAUCUCACCAAUAGCAGAGUGUGGAUGGUGUUCCACAUCUCAGUAGCAGCAGAGAAGGGGCGAGGCCCAAGUUAGGAAAGGAGUGAGGGUGGGCUGGGCCCGUAUCUCACUAUCAGCAGGAGUAUGGACGAGGUUUCAUGACUCAUCAGUAGCAGGACACGGGCGGGGCCCAGAGAUAGGCGAGGCCUUAG
rnacentral:lncRNA from 1 species